rnacentral:rRNA from 1 species
GAUGAACGCUGGCGGCGUGCCUAAUACAUGCAAGUCGAGCGAACAGACGAGGAGCUUGCUCCUCUGACGUUAGCGGCGGACGGGUGAGUAACACGUGGAUAACCUACCUAUAAGACUGGGAUAACUUCGGGAAACCGGAGCUAAUACCGGAUAAUAUAUUGAACCGCAUGGUUCAAUAGUGAAAGACGGUUUUGCUGUCACUUAUAGAUGGAUCCGCGCCGCAGUAGCUAGUUGGUAAGGUAACGGCUUACCAAGGCAACGAUGCGUAGCCGACCGGAGAGGGUGAUCGGCCCCGCUGGACCUGAGACCCGGUCCAGACUCCUACGGGAGGCAGCAGUAGGGAAUCUUCCGCAAUGGGCGAAAGCCUGACGGAGCAACGCCGCGUGAGUGAUGAAGGUCUUCGGAUCGUAAAACUCUGUUAUUAGGGAAGAACAAAUGUGUAAGUAACUAUGCACGUCUUGACGGUACCUAAUCAGAAAGCCCCGGCUAACUACGU